rnacentral:rRNA from 1 species
UACGUAGGCAGCGAGCGUUGUUCGGAAUUACUGGGCGUAAAGAGUGUGUAGGCGGUGCUCCCAGUCUGUUGUGAAAUCUCCCGGCUUAACUGGGAGGGUGCAGCGGAAACUAGAGUGCUAGAGGGUGGGAGAGGUAAGCGGAAUUCCUGGUGUAGCGGUGAAAUGCGUAGAUAUCAGGAGGAACACCUGCGGUGUAGACGGCUUUCUGGACCAUUGCUGACGCUGAGACACGAAAGCGUGGGUAGCAAACAGG